GCCUUUGUAGUGUAACGGUAACACGCCCCAGAUCAAGUAUUGACCACCAUCUUUGCACUUUUCUGGGGAUCCCGAGUUCGACUCUCGGCAAGGACG